AGUGUAUUCCUGUCUGCCUUUCUCGCUGAGUUAUUAAUCUGCAUAUAAAAAUUAUGUUGAAUUACUGCUUGCAAAGGAGGAAUUGACUGUGGAGGGUAUGGUGCUAUUAGUUGAUAAUAGUGGUCUCUCUAAUCUGCCAAACAAAGACUAACAGGAUCCAGCAGCUGGAAGUUGAAGUCAGCAAAGUCCAAACCGGAAAGACGGUGAAAACUGCUGGAAGUGAGGGCAAGCAACCAUUGGAACAGAUUACUCAGAGGGGAUUCCCAUUAUGGAUGGUUCCUGCACAGUGCCAUGCUACUGGAGCUCACAGUUUUAUCGUGUUAUGCUAUUGAAGACGAAAAAAGAGAGGGCUUGAGCUUCCCCAAGACUAGAGGUCAUUUCUUAUUCCAAAAUAUGACGGUCAAAGUCCUUUUAUUGUGCUACUCCUGUUCUUAGAGCCUCAAGUACUGUGUAUUGGCUUUUACUCUGAGACACUCUGAGCAUCUUCUGUAUCUUUUACACACAUAUCUGCAAAUAUGUGAGUGAACUGUCAAAGUGGUGAGUACGUACUUGUUAACCUGACGAAAUAUUAAAGCUUGGUAAAUGCUUGCUCAGAAAAUAACUUAU